rnacentral:rRNA from 1 species
CUACCCUUGACAUGUCAGGAAGAUUUCAGAGAUGAGAUUGUGCCCGAAAGGGAACCUGAACACAGGUGCUGCAUGGCUGUCGUCAGCUCGUGUCGUGAGAUGUUGGGUUAAGUCCCGCAACGAGCGCAACCCUUGUCAUUAAUUGCCAUCAUUCAGUUGGGCACUUUAAUGAGACUGCCGGUGAUAAACCGGAGGAAGGUGGGGAUGACGUCAAGUCCUCAUGGCCCUUAUGGGUAGGGCUUCACACGUAAUACAAUGGUCGGUACAGAGGGUUGCCAACCCGCGAGGGGGAGCUAAUCUCAGAAAGCCGAUCGUAGUCCGGAUUGUUCUCUGCAACUCGAGAGCAUGAAGUCGGAAUCGCUAGUAAUCGCGGAUCAGCAUGUCGCGGUGAAUACGUUCCC